rnacentral:tRNA from 1 species
GUCAGCGUAAGCCUAAUUUGGUAAGGCAGAGGAUUGCUAAUCCUUGAGUAGUCGUUUUUAACGGUGUGUUGGUUCAAGUCCAAUCGCUGACG